rnacentral:tRNA from 1 species
GGGGCUGUGGGGUAGCUUGGUAUCCUACAUGCUUGGGGUGCAUGCGACCGGCGUUCAAAUCGCCGCAGCCCCA